AUUGAACGCUGGCGGCAGGCUUAACACAUGCAAGUCGAGCGGAGAGAAGUAGCUUGCUACUGAUCUUAGCGGCGGACGGGUGAGUAAUGCUUAGGAAUCUGCCUAUUAGUGGGGGACAACAUUUCGAAAGGAAUGCUAAUACCGCAUACGUCCUACGGGAGAAAGCAGGGGAUCUUCGGACCUUGCGCUAAUAGAUGAGCCUAAGUCGGAUUAGCUAGUUGGUGAGGUAAAGGCCUACCAAGGCGACGAUCUGUAGCGGGUCUGAGAGGAUGAUCCGCCACACUGGGACUGAGACACGGCCCAGACUCCUACGGGAGGCAGCAGUGGGGAAUAUUGGACAAUGGGCGGAAGCCUGAUCCAGCCAUGCCGCGUGUGUGAAGAAGGCCUUAUGGUUGUAAAGCACUUUAAGCGAGGAGGAGGCUACUUUAGUUAAUACCUAGAGAUAGUGGACGUUACUCGCAGAAUAAGUACCGGCUAACUCUGUGCCAGCAGCCGCCGUAAUAC
rnacentral:rRNA from 1 species